GAUGAACGCUGGCGGCGUGCCUAAUACAUGCAAGUAGAACGCUGAAGGCAGGAUCUUGCUCUUUCCUCAUGUGUUGCGAACGUGUGAGUAACGCGUAUAUCACCUGCCUGAUAGCGGGGGAUAACUAUUGGAAUCGAUAUCUAAUACCGCAUAACCGUCGAUGUUGUAUUAUAUCUACUUAAAAGUUGCAAUUUCACCACUACCAGAUGGACCUUCGUUGUAUUAGAUAGUUGGUGAGGUACCGGCUCACCAAGGCGAGGAUGAAUAGCCGAACUGAGAGGGUGGGCGGCCACACUGGGAGUGAGACAGGGCACAGAGGGCUAGAGGAGGGGGCAGUAGGGAAUCGGGGGGAAUGGACGGGAGACUGACCGAGCAACGCCGCGUGAGUGAGGAGGGUUUUCGGAUCGUAGAGGACUGUUGUAAGAGAAGAAAGAGUGUGAGAGUGGAAAGUACACAGUGUGACGGUAUCGUACAAGAAAGGGACGGCUAACUACGUG
rnacentral:rRNA from 1 species